ACCAGCGCUGUCCACCGAGACCCUCUUCUUCAUCUUCUACUACCUGGAGGGCACCAAGGCUCAGUACCUGGCGGCCAAGGCGCUGAAGAAGCAAUCGUGGCGCUUCCACACCAAGUACAUGAUGUGGUUCCAGCGGCACGAGGAGCCCAAAACCAUCACCGACGAGUUCGAGCAGGGCACCUACAUCUACUUCGACUACGAGAAGUGGGGGCAGCGCAAGAAGGAAGGCUUCACCUUCGAGUAUCGCUACCUGGAGGACCGAGACCUGCAGUGAGGGGACCCCAAAAAAAACCCCAAAACCCCCCCAAAAAAACCCCAACCCCCCCC